AAAAAUGAUAAGGAUGUUAGGGAAGUGAUGUUUGGACCAAAUGAUAUCAGUUUGAUUGUUGUAAUCCGUUAGAAAUGUUAUUUUUAAAUGUUGUGGUUGUCGCGCAAAAAGUUAACUGUUGACCAAAAGUCAAUUGUUGUAUAAAUGGUCAAUUUUGUAGCCUUUGUACAUGUAUGGACUUUGGAUGUGAUUGUAUGAAAUGAUAUUUGAUAUUU
rnacentral:lncRNA from 1 species